UCGGUCUAUCGAAAAAGCUAAACAACCACAUUCAAGACAAUUCAUUAAGUUGUAAAUAUCACUGUGUUGUGGACGGUGCAAUUCAACUGGUGGGCUAGUCAAUCAUCCCAAUAAGAUACAGUUUAGGUUUAAAAGUCGCCCUGCAACUUUAUCUUCCCUCUUCGUGUGUAUUAAAUAAAAUCGUCCAUCUUGUUGAUCCGACUGACCCAUAAAAGCACAGAUGAAGAUCCUGUCCGACUCUCAAUCUGAUGGUGAUGGUGAUGACACAGACACAACCAAUGUCAGCACGCCGACACAUACACAAUUUUUAGUUUGAAACUUGGCAAAAAUGCAUAUUCAUCAAGCUUCAUAUUUUCAUAUGACGCUUUGCAUUGCACAUAUUCCACCAGGGACUAUCAUCAUCAUCGUUGAACAACAAAUAGUGAUGAUGAGCCAAUGACCCACAGAAUUAUAUACGAACCCCAACUACAUAUAUGCAUACAAGUAAAUUUCAACUUUUUAAUUAUAAUUGCGAAAUUAUGCUGUGCCGGUAAAUGAAAAGAGUGAAAUUAUUAUGAAUACAGAGAG